rnacentral:rRNA from 1 species
AUGAACGCUAGCGGCGCGCUUGAUCCAUGCAAGUCGAACGGACCUACGUUCUUCGGAGUGUAGGUGAGUGGCAAACGGGUGAGUAACACGUUGGUGACCUGCCCCUGAGUGGGGGAUAACUAUUCGAAAGGGUAGCUAAUCCCGCAUAAGCUCCGGCAUUCGCUUGUCGGAGGAAAGGCUUCGGCCGCUCUGGGAGGGGCCUGCGUUGGAUUAGCUAGUUGGUGGGGUAACGGCCUACCAAGGCGAUGAUCCAUAGGGGGCGUGAGAGCGUGGCCCCCCACACUGGCACUGAGACACGGGCCAGACUCCUACGGGAGGCAGCAGGAAGGAAUCUUGCGCAAUGGGCGAAAGCCAGACGCAGCGACGCCGCGUGGGUGAUGAAGGCCUUCGGGUUGUAAAGCCCUUUUCCGAGGGAAGAGUAGGGACGGUACCUCGGGAAUAAGCCUCGGCUAACUACGU